rnacentral:rRNA from 1 species
CCUACGGGAUGCAGCAGUGAGGAAUAUUGGUCAAUGGACGCAAGUCUGAACCAGCCAUGCCGCGUGAAGGAAGACGGCUCUAUGAGUUGUAAACUGCUUUUGUACGAGGGUAAACGCAGAUACGCGUAUCUGUCUGAAAGUAUCGUACGAAUAAGGAUCGGCUAACUCCGUGCCAGCAGCCGCGGUAAUAAGGAGGAUUCAAGCGUUAUCCGGAUUUAUUGGGUUUAAAGGGUGCGUAGGCGGUCGGAUAAGUUAGAGGUGAAAUCCCGAGGCUCAACUUCGGAAUUGCCUCUGAUACUGGUCGGCGAGAGAGUAGUUGCGGUAGGCGGAAUGUAUGGUGUAGCGGUGAAAUGCUUAGAGAUCAUACAGAACACCGAUUGCGAAGGCAGCUUACCAAGCUACUUCUGACGUUGAGGCACGAAAGCGUGGGGAGCAAACAGGAUUAGAGACCCCAGUAGUC